rnacentral:rRNA from 1 species
CCUACGGGUGGCAGCAGUGAGGAAUAUUGGUCAAUGGGCGCGAGCCUGAACCAGCCAAGUAGCGUGAAGGAUGACUGCCCUACGGGUUGUAAACUUCUUUUAUAAAGGAAUAAAGUGAGGCACGUGUGUCUUUUUGUAUGUACUUUACGAAUAAGGAUUGGCUAACUCCGUGCCAGCAGCCGCGGUAAUACGGAGGAUCCGAGCGUUAUCCGGAUUUAUUGGGUUUAAAGGGAGCGUAGAUGGGUUGUUAAGUUAGUUGUGAAAGUUUGCGGCUCAACCGUACAAUUGCAAUUGAUACUGGCAGCCUUGAGUACAGUUGAGGUAGGCGGAAUUCGUGGUGUAGCGGUGAAAUGCUUAGAUAUCACGAAGAACUCCGAUUGCGAAGGCAGCUUACUAAUCUGCCACUGACAUUGAGGCUCGAAAGUGUGGGUAUCAAACAGGAUUAGAUACCCGAGUAGUC